GAUGAACGCUGGCGGCGUGCUUAACACAUGCAAGUCGAACGGAAAGGCCAGUGCUUGCACUGGUGCUCGAGUGGCGAACGGGUGAGUAACACGUGGGUGAUCUGCCCUGCACUUUGGGAUAAGCCUGGGAAACUGGGUCUAAUACCAGAUAGGACCAUGCUUUGGAUGGUGUGGUGGAAAGUUUUUUCGGUGUGGGAUGAGCUUGCGGCCUAUCAGCUUGUUGGUGGGGUAAUGGCCUACCAAGGCGUCGACGGGUAGCCGGCCUGAGAGGGUGUACGGCCACAUUGGGACUGAGAUACGGCCCAGACUCCUACGGGAGGCAGCAGUGGGGAAUAUUGCACAAUGGGCGCAAGCCUGAUGCAGCGACGCCGCGUGGGGGAUGACGGCCUUCGGGUUGUAAACUCCUUUCGCAGCUGACGAAGCUUUUUGUGACGGUAGGUUGAGAAGAAGCACCGGCUAACUACGUG
rnacentral:rRNA from 1 species